CGAUCGGUAGCCGGCCUGAGAGGGCACACGGCCACACUGGCACUGAAACACGGGCCAGACUCCUACGGGAGGCAGCAGUGGGGAAUCUUGCACAAUGGGGGAAACCCUGAUGCAGCGACGCCGCGUGAGCGAUGAAGCCCUUCGGGGUGUAAAGCUCUUUCGGCAGGAACGAUAAUGACGGUACCUGCAGAAGAAGCUGCGGCUAACUACGUGCCAGCAGCCGCGGUAAUACGUAGGCAGCAAGCGUUGUUCGGAGUUACUGGGCGUAAAGAGUGCGUAGGUGGUUCUCUAAGUUCGGUGUGAAAUCUCCCGGCUCAACUGGGAGGGUGCGCCGAAAACUGGAGGGCUUGAGUAUGGGAGAGGAGAGCGGAAUUCCUGGUGUAGCGGUGAAAUGCGUAGAUAUCAGGAGGAACACCUGUGGUGCAGACGGCUCUCUGGACCAUUACUGACACUGAGGCACGAAAGCGUGGGGAGCAAACAGGAUUAGAUACCCUGGUAGUCCACGCCCUAAACGAUGCAUACUUGGUGUGGGUCAUUCAGUUGAUCCGUGCCGGAGCUAACGCGUUAA
rnacentral:rRNA from 1 species